GGCCUCUGGAAUUCUGAGAACUAAUUUGCUAUUCGGUGACAUAAGAGGGGGAGUGCGCUUUGCUUUCCUGGGGUCUGGGGCUAAUUCCUCCUCUCUUACCCAUAAACUCAGCUCCUGGAGCUAAAUUACACGAAAGGGAGCGAGAGGUUCGAACCGUUGGGAAAAGUCUGUUAUAUAUACUAGGUUUAGAAGCGAGUCAGAGAAAAAACAAACACCACAGCUCUUUGCAGCUAGAAUAGUAGGCACCACGAGAAAAAUAUUUGCCAAGCAGUUUUCGAAGCCUAUCUGAAGCUGGCUUGAUGGCAGGGAGAGCUGGAGAGCAGAAGAAUGUGCAGAGGGAGGGAGUGCUUGGUACUUUUCCAUUCACAUCUCCACAGUGGCUUUUCUUGUUUAUUUCAGCCUCCACCCGCAGGAACCUUUCUGCUGCUUGAAAUUCGAGUCAUUAAACUGUUCCCUGUGGUCAGACUACAGAUGUUUGGUGCAUGUUUCCUACAUGUCGGUGUCUAUGUAGCAUAUGUACCUAUAGAGACACACACACAAACGUGUAACUCCACAGGGGCAUAGUGUGAGGUUGGGGCGGGGGGAGACACUGGAUAGGUUGCCAAAAAAGCCUUUGUUUCUAAUUACAGUUCUGCCUGGAAGUCCUUAUGGGACCUGGAGCAAAACCACUUGUCAAGACUCAGUUUCCUUGACUAUGUGAUGGAAUAACCCAGAUGAUAUGCAUGAUGUCUAUUUGUUCAAAAUUCUAUACCCAUGUAUCUAAAUGCAUAUUUACAUAACUUUAAGGUGGGGAGGGAGAGAUGGAAAGGAGCUUUGUGUACCUGGGAUGGGGGAAAGGGUUAAAAUUUAAACUUCUAAGUAAAGAAGGCAAUCCCAGAAUUCUCACCUCUAUCAAUUUUUAACCAGUUGUAGACCAAAGUCUGGGAUUAUGCUGAGUUGGGUCCAAAAGCCAACUGAAGAUUUUAAAUGUUAGGAGUUGGAAAAGGCAGUUUCUAAGACCUUGUACUUUUGAUCUCCAGCAUUCAGAAUCAAAUGUGACAAUUCCCAAGUGUCUUUUCUGCCCUAGAAUUCUUCUGUAGUUUUGUUUGUUUUUCGAAACUGUCCUAGUUAAUGAUAGAAAGGAGAUGAUACUUGUAAACUGGGCAGGCUUUAAGCCACAGAGCCCCAUGUGGGUGUGAAAAAUAUGUCAUAAUGUGGAAAGAGAGAGAGAGAGAGAGAGAGAGAGAGAGAGAGAGAGAGAGAGAGAAACCUAGAGAGAGAGAUUCCUAGUAAGAAACUUAGAGGUAACCCAGCCAUCACUGCAUUGAAGGUAAUUAUUUGAAGUCAGAGAAAAUUACAGAUGAGGAGUUUGCCUUUAUAAAAAAAAAAAAA